GACGAACGCUGGCGGCGUGCUUAACACAUGCAAGUGGAGCGACGAACCGGGGCUUGCCCCGGGGCAGAGCCGCGAACGGGUGAGUAACACGUGGGUAACCCACCCCGAUGACCGGGACAACCCGAGGAAACUCGGGCUAAUACCGGAUGUGCUCCUUGACCUCGAGGUCAAGGCGUAAAGAUAGCUUCGGCCUUCGCAUCGGGACGGGCCCGCGGCCCAUUAGCUUGUUGGGUGGGGUAAAGGCCUACCAAGGCGACGANGGGUAGCUGGUCUGAGAGGACGA
rnacentral:rRNA from 1 species